GACGAACGCUGGCGGCGUGCUUAACACAUGCAAGUCGAACGGAAAGGCCCUGCUUUUGUGGGGUGCUCGAGUGGCGAACGGGUGAGUAACACGUGAGUAACCUGCCCUUGACUUUGGGAUAACUUCAGGAAACUGGGGCUAAUACCGGAUCGGAGCUCCCGCUGCAUGGUGGGGGUUGGAAAGUUUCGGCGGGUGGGGAUGGACUCGCGGCUUAUCAGCUUGUUGGUGGGGUAGUGGCUUACCAAGGCUUUGACGGAUAGCCGGCCUGGGAGGGUGACCGGCGACAAUGGGACUGAGGGAGGGACCAGACUCCUACGGGAGGCAGAAGUGGGGAGUAUUGCACAGUGAGCGCAAGCCUGAGGAGACAGCGUCGCGUGCGGGAUGACGGCCUUCGGGUUGUGAACCGCUUUCGCCUGUGACGAAGCGUGAGUGACGGUAAUGGGUGAAGAAGCACCGGCUAACUACGUG
rnacentral:rRNA from 1 species